CGAAUGUCUGCCCAGCAGGGCAAGGGCACGAGGGGGCAGGCACACUGUCUUCCCCGAGGCCUGGAGCUGGGAGCCCAGAGGUAUGCCCUGGGUGGGCGGCCUUUCUCCUUUACUCGCUUUUUUUCCAAGCCAGCCUGAACUUAAGGGGGGCGGUGCACUGCCAGCUGAAGUUUGAGGGCCUGGCCUGGGGAGGUCCGGGGGGAGACAUCUUAUGCUUUACCAGCAGGAACUGGGUUAGGACAGGGCUGGCACAGACCUGGGGAUGUACGGGCCCUUCUCUCGACAGGAACUGGCAUCAAAGAUUUAGGGGGGACCCUAAUACAGGGGAGAGGGUCCCUGGCUGAACAAGCCAGGAAGCGGCAAGCGAAGACAAGCCAAAAACCAUGUUUGGGAGCAACGAGGCGGACCCCGGCCUGCGGCACUGCGAGUCCUGAUCUUCUGGGCCUGCACACGUGGGUAUGUGGGAGUGUGGUCGUGCACAAGAGUCAGAAGGCAGUGGAAGCUGUGUUGGGUGUAAAGUACUGCACAUGUGACACAGUUGUACACAGAUGCACACACACGUGCACACAAGCGCAUGCAUACACAAACAGAAAUGUGUUUGUACACAUCUCACACCCAUAUGCAUACGCCUGUGAACACAUGCAGACAAGCAUGCACGCUUCCAGGUCCAAUGCAAACCCACUUGCACAAACACACACACGUACACACAAAGCCCAAAGCAAAGCUGGCCCCUGGGAAGCACUUUUUGGGAAAGCAAAGCAAAAGUGUCAGCAGCUGGAGCCUGGUGAGUCUUGGAGCACACCCCACCUCCCCCAGUUUCAUGCCACUGACGACAGGGUUUGGGUAUCAG
rnacentral:lncRNA from 10 species